AUUGAACGCUGGCGGCAUGCCUUACACAUGCAAGUCGAACGGUAACGGGCCUUCGGGUGCCGACGAGUGGCGAACGGGUGAGUAAUGCAUCGGAACGUACCUUUCAGUGGGGGAUAACGUAGCGAAAGUUACGCUAAUACCGCAUAUUCUGUGAGCAGGAAAGCCGGGGAUCGCAAGACCUUGCGCUGAUUGAUGGUCCGGUGGAAGAUGAGCUAGUUGGCGAGGUAAAGGCUCACCAAGGCGACGAUCCGUAGCUGGUCUAAGAGGAUGAUCAGCAACACUGGGACUGAGACACGGCCAAGACUCCUACGGGAGGCAGCAGUGGGGAAUAUUGGACAAUGGGGGAAACCCUGAUCCAGCAAUGCCGCGUGGGUGAAGAAGGCCUGAGGGUUGUAAAGCACUUUAAUUGGUGAGGAAGGUAUAUAUGCUAAUAGCGUAUGUGCUUGACGUUAGCCAAGGAAUAAGCACCGGCUAACUCUGUGCCAGCCGCCGCAGUAAAAC
rnacentral:rRNA from 1 species